rnacentral:rRNA from 1 species
AUUGAACGCUGGCGGCAUGCUUUACACAUGCAAGUCGAACGGUAACAGGCCGCAAGGUGCUGACGAGUGGCGAACGGGUGAGUAAUGCAUCGGAACGUGCCCAGUCGUGGGGGAUAACUACUCGAAAGAGUAGCUAAUACCGCAUACGAUCUAUGGAUGAAAGCGGGGGACCGUAAGGCCUCGCGCGAUUGGAGCGGCCGAUGUCAGAUUAGGUAGUUGGUGGGGUAAAGGCUCCAAGCCAACGAUCUGUAGCUGGUCUGAGAGGACGACCAGCCACACUGGGACUGAGACACGGCCCAGACUCCUACGGGAGGCAGCAGUGGGGAAUUUUGGACAAUGGGCGCAAGCCUGAUCCAGCAAUGCCGCGUGCAGGAAGAAGGCCUUCGGGUUGUAAACUGCUUUUGUACGGAACGAAACGGCUCUGGUUAAUACCCGGGGCUAAUGACGGUACCGUAAGAAUAAGCACCGGCUAACUACGUG